UUAAGCGACUAAGCGUACACGGUGGAUGCCCUGGCAGUCAGAGGCGAUGAAGGACGUGCUAAUCUGCGAUAAGCGUCGGUAAGGUGAUAUGAACCGUUAUAACCGGCGAUUUCCGAAUGGGGAAACCCAGUGUGAUUCGUCACACUAUCAUUAACUGAAUCCAUAGGUUAAUGAGGCGAACCGGGGGAACUGAAACAUCUAAGUACCCCGAGGAAAAGAAAUCAACCGAGAUUCCCCCAGUAGCGGCGAGCGAACGGGGAGCAGCCCAGAGCCUGAAUCAGUGUGUGUGUUAGUGGAAGCGUCUGGAAAGGCGUGCGAUACAGGGUGACAGCCCCGUACACAAAAAUGCACAUGCUGUGAGCUCGAUGAGUAGGGCGGGACACGUGGUAUCCUGUCUGAAUAUGGGGGGACCAUCCUCCAAGGCUAAAUACUCCUGACUGACCGAUAGUGAACCAGUACCGUGAGGGAAAGGCGAAAAGAACCCCGGCGAGGGGAGUGAAAAAGAACCUGAAACCGUGUACGUACAAGCAGUGGGAGCACAGAGCAAUCUGUGUGACUGCGUACCUUUUGUAUAAUGGGUCAGCGACUUAUAUUCUGUAGCAAGGUUAACCGAAUAGGGGAGCCGAAGGGAAACCGAGUCUUAACUGGGCGUUAAGUUGCAGGGUAUAGACCCGAAACCCGGUGAUCUAGCCAUGGGCAGGUUGAAGGUUGGGUAACACUAACUGGAGGACCGAACCGACUAAUGUUGAAAAAUUAGCGGAUGACUUGUGGCUGGGGGUGAAAGGCCAAUCAAACCGGGAGAUAGCUGGUUCUCCCCGAAAGCUAUUUAGGUAGCGCCUCGUGAAUUCAUCUCCGGGGUAGAGCACUGUUUCGGCAAGGGGGUCAUCCCGACUUACCAACCCGAUGCAAACUGCGAAUACCGGAGAAUGUUAUCACGGGAGACACACGGCGGGUGCUAACGUCCGUCGUGAAGAGGGAAACAACCCAGACCGCCAGCUAAGGUCCCAAAGUCAUGGUUAAGUGGGAAACGAUGUGGGAAGGCCCAGACAGCCAGGAUGUUGGCUUAGAAGCAGCCAUCAUUUAAAGAAAGCGUAAUAGCUCACUGGUCGAGUCGGCCUGCGCGGAAGAUGUAACGGGGCUAAACCAUGCACCGAAGCUGCGGCAGCGACGCUUAUGCGUUGUUGGGUAGGGGAGCGUUCUGUAAGCCUGCGAAGGUGUGCUGUGAGGCAUGCUGGAGGUAUCAGAAGUGCGAAUGCUGACAUAAGUAACGAUAAAGCGGGUGAAAAGCCCGCUCGCCGGAAGACCAAGGGUUCCUGUCCAACGUUAAUCGGGGCAGGGUGAGUCGACCCCUAAGGCGAGGCCGAAAGGCGUAGUCGAUGGGAAACAGGUUAAUAUUCCUGUACUUGGUGUUACUGCGAAGGGGGGACGGAGAAGGCUAUGUUGGCCGGGCGACGGUUGUCCCGGUUUAAGCGUGUAGGCUGGUUUUCCAGGCAAAUCCGGAAAACUAAGGCUGAGGCGUGAUGACGAGGCACUACGGUGCUGAAGCAACAAAUGCCCUGCUUCCAGGAAAAGCCUCUAAGCAUCAGGUAACAUCAAAUCGUACCCCAAACCGACACAGGUGGUCAGGUAGAGAAUACCAAGGCGCUUGAGAGAACUCGGGUGAAGGAACUAGGCAAAAUGGUGCCGUAACUUCGGGAGAAGGCACGCUGAUAUGUAGGUGAAGUCCCUCGCGGAUGGAGCUGAAAUCAGUCGAAGAUACCAGCUGGCUGCAACUGUUUAUUAAAAACACAGCACUGUGCAAACACGAAAGUGGACGUAUACGGUGUGACGCCUGCCCGGUGCCGGAAGGUUAAUUGAUGGGGUUAGCGCAAGCGAAGCUCUUGAUCGAAGCCCCGGUAAACGGCGGCCGUAACUAUAACGGUCCUAAGGUAGCGAAAUUCCUUGUCGGGUAAGUUCCGACCUGCACGAAUGGCGUAAUGAUGGCCAGGCUGUCUCCACCCGAGACUCAGUGAAAUUGAACUCGCUGUGAAGAUGCAGUGUACCCGCGGCAAGACGGAAAGACCCCGUGAACCUUUACUAUAGCUUGACACUGAACAUUGAGCCUUGAUGUGUAGGAUAGGUGGGAGGCUUGGAAGUGUGGACGCCAGUCUGCAUGGAGCCGACCUUGAAAUACCACCCUUUAAUGUUUGAUGUUCUAACGUUGACCCGUGAUCCGGGUUGCGGACAGUGUCUGGUGGGUAGUUUGACUGGGGCGGUCUCCUCCUAAAGAGUAACGGAGGAGCACGAAGGUUGGCUAAUCCUGGUCGGACAUCAGGAGGUUAGUGCAAUGGCAUAAGCCAGCUUGACUGCGAGCGUGACGGCGCGAGCAGGUGCGAAAGCAGGUCAUAGUGAUCCGGUGGUUCUGAAUGGAAGGGCCAUCGCUCAACGGAUAAAAGGUACUCCGGGGAUAACAGGCUGAUACCGCCCAAGAGUUCAUAUCGACGGCGGUGUUUGGCACCUCGAUGUCGGCUCAUCACAUCCUGGGGCUGAAGUAGGUCCCAAGGGUAUGGCUGUUCGCCAUUUAAAGUGGUACGCGAGCUGGGUUUAGAACGUCGUGAGACAGUUCGGUCCCUAUCUGCCGUGGGCGCUGGAGAACUGAGGGGGGCUGCUCCUAGUACGAGAGGACCGGAGUGGACGCAUCACUGGUGUUCGGGUUGUCAUGCCAAUGGCACUGCCCGGUAGCUAAAUGCGGAAGAGAUAAGUGCUGAAAGCAUCUAAGCACGAAACUUGCCCCGAGAUGAGUUCUCCCUGACUCCUUGAGAGUCCUGAAGGAACGUUGAAGACGACGACGUUGAUAGGCCGGGUGUGUAAGCGCAGCGAUGCGUUGAGCUAACCGGUACUAAUGAACCGUGAGGCUUAACCU
rnacentral:rRNA from 1 species